CAUGUAGGCGGUUAGGCAAGUCUGAUGUGAAAUCCCGGGGCUCAACCCCGGACGUGCAUUGGAUACUGCUAGACUAGAGUACAGGAGGGGUGAGCGGAAUUCCAGGUGUAGAGGUGAAAUUCGUAGAUAUCUGGAGGAACAACGGAGGCGAAGGCGGCUCACUGGACUGUAACUGACGCUGAGAUGCGAAAGUGUGGGGAGCGAACG
rnacentral:rRNA from 1 species